rnacentral:lncRNA from 1 species
CUGCCCUUUUGACACCAAAUUAAACUUUAAUUCAGGCAGAGGAGGAAGCAAAGGGCGGCCGAACAGCCCCGCCGAACCAUCAAUGAGAUCUUCUGGGAGUUAAUUAUGCUGUAACUCUUUUGCUGUUUGGAGCUCAUUAAUUCCCCGCCCCCUCUUCCCUUCCCUCCUUUAAACUGUUCAGUUAUUUCCAGCUAAAGGCUGCUCAUCGUCUGGAAGAGUCCCCUAGGACCAAACUGCUUACCAAACAAUAACGGUAGCUUUCUGCUUCAGCUAUAAAAUGCCCUUCCUCUAGGAGACGGCUCUUUUGAUGGUAGCGGCUUGGAUUUGCAUAAUGUGGUGCCUGAAGAAAUCAUUAAUACUUUAGAAGAAUGACACCUACAUUGGGAAAAGAUUUCUUGGCCUGGACAUCCUUACACCAAUGGAAAAGCCUGCACAUGUGCUGGGAAGUCAGGAGUGUUGGCCAUGCUACGGGUCCUGGGUCUGAACUCUGGCAUCUAUUCUGCCUCCCAGAACCAACUGUGCUGCUCCCUUACUCCAGUUUCAACUGAACUUGCACAGAAACCAGAUUUCCUAGAUAUGGCUCUUCAGGGUGAAAAAAAAAGAUAAUGAGACAAAAGAAAAUAAGUUUUGUCUAAACUUCUCCUCGUGAAAUGAAUCUGGGUACCUGGCUGAACCUGACCAUAUUUUGAAGAAAUAAAGAA